rnacentral:rRNA from 1 species
GACAUGUGGACAGUAUGGGAGUGAGAAUGUUGGCAUGAGUAGCGAGAUGUGGGUGAGAAUCCCACAGGCCGUAAACCCAAGGUUUCCAGGGGAAGGUUCGUCCGCCCUGGGUUAGUCGGGACCUAAGCUGAGGCCGAAAGGCGUAGGUGAUGGACAACAGGUUGAUAUUCCUGUACUACCGAUAACCGUUUGAGAGAAGGGAUGACACAGUAGGAUAAGCUAAGCACACUGUUGGUUAUGUGUGCCCAAGCAUUGAGGCAGUCAAAGUAGGCAAAUCCGCUUUGAUAAUGCUGGGAUGUGAUGGGGAGCGAAAUUUAGUAGCGAAGUAGCUGAUUUCACACUGUCAAGAAAAGUCUCUAUCGAGGUUAAAGGUACCCGUACCGCAAACCGACACAGGUGGGUGAGGAGAGUAUCCUAAGGCCAGCGAGAGAACUGUUGUU